GUGCGAGGCUCUUCGGAGUCGAGCGGCGGACGGGUGAGUAACACGUGGGCAACCUGCCCGACAGAUCGGGAUAACGCUUGGAAACGAGUGCUAAUACCGGAUACGCUUUUGAGGCGCAUGCCUCGAAAGGGAAAGUUGCUUUUGCAGCACUGUCGGAUGGGCCCGCGGCGCAUUAGCUAGUUGGUGAGGUAACGGCUCACCAAGGCGACGAUGCGUAGCCGACCUGAGAGGGUGACCGGCCACACUGGGACUGAGACACGGCCCAUACUCCUACGGGAGGCAGCAGUAGGGAAUCUUCCGCAAUGGGCGCAAGCCUGACGGAGCAACGCCGCGUGAGUGAUGAAGGCCUUCGGGUUGUAAAACUCUGUCUUCUGUGAAGAACAAGCCUAUGAACAGAAUGCUUAGGCCCUGACGGUAACAGAGGAGGAAGCCCCGGCUAACUACGUGCCAGCAGCCGCGGUAAU
rnacentral:rRNA from 1 species